rnacentral:rRNA from 1 species
AUACGUAGGGAGCGAGCGUUGUCCGGAAUUACUGGGUGUAAAGGGAGCGUAGGCGGGAUCGCAAGUCAGAUGUGAAAUACAUGGGCUUAACCCAUGGGCUGCAUUUGAAACUGUGGUUCUUGAGUGAAGUAGAGGACAGCGGAAUUCCUGGUGUAGCGGUGAAAUGCGUAGAUAUCAGGAGGAACACCGGUGGCGAAGGCGGCUUACUGGGCUUUUACUGACGCUGAGGCUCGAAAGCGUGGGGAGCAAACAGGAUUAGAUACCCUGGUAGUCCACGCUGUAAACGAUGAUUACUAGGUGUGGGGGGACUGACCCCUUCCGUGCCGCAGUUAACACAAUAAGUAAUCCACCUGGGGAGUACGGCCGCAAGGUUGAAACUCAAAUGAAUUGACGG